UGGGGGAUAUUGCACAAUGGGCGAAAGCCUGAUGCAGCGACGCCGCGUGGGGGAUGAAGGCCUUCGGGUUGUAAACUUCUUUUGCUCUGAACAAGGCAUGCUAAUGGGUGUGUUGAGUGUAGGGGUUGAUUAGCGCCGGCUAACUACGUGCCAGCAGCCGCGGUAAUACAUAGGGCGCGAGCGUUGUCCGGAAUUAUUGGGCGUAAAGGGCUUGUAGGUGGCUGGUUGCGUCUGUCGUGAAAGCUCAUGGCUUAACUGUGGGUUUGCGGUGGGUACGGGCUGGCUUGAGUGCAGUAGGGGAGGCUGGAAUUCCUGGUGUAGCGGUGGAAUGCGCAGAUAUCAGGAGGAAUACCGGUGGCGAAGGCGGGUCUCUGGGCUGUUACUGACACUGAGGAGCGAAAGCAUGGGGAGCGAACAGG
rnacentral:rRNA from 1 species